rnacentral:rRNA from 1 species
GAUGAACGCUGGCGGCGUGCCUAAUACAUGCAAGUCGAACGGACCUUUCGGGGUUAGUGGCGGACGGGUGAGUAACACGUGGGAACGUGCCUUUAGGUUCGGAAUAGCUCCUGGAAACGGGUGGUAAUGCCGAAUGUGCCCUUAGGGGGAAAGAUUUAUCGCCUUUAGAGCGGCCCGCGUCUGAUUAGCUAGUUGGUGAGGUAAUGGCUCACCAAGGCUACGAUCAGUAGCUGGUCUGAGAGGAUGACCAGCCACAUUGGGACUGAGACACGGCCCAAACUCCUACGGGAGGCAGCAGUGGGGAAUCUUGCGCAAUGGGCGAAAGCCUGACGCAGCCAUGCCGCGUGGAUGAUGAAGGUCUUAGGAUUGUAAAAUCCUUUCACCGGUGAAGAUAAUGACUGUAGCCGGAGAAGAAGCCCCGGCUAACUUCGUGCCAGCCGCCGCCGUAA